GGCUCAGAACGAACGCUGGCGGCAGGCCUAACACAUGCAAGUCGAGCGCGCCCUUCGGGGUGAGCGGCGGACGGGUUAGUAACGCGUGGGAACGUACCCUUUGGUAGGGAAUAGCCACUGGAAACGGUGAGUAAUACCCUAUGAGCCCUUCGGGGGGAAAAGAUUUUAUCGCCAAAGGAUCGGCCCGCGUUAGAUUAGGUAGUUGGUGGGGUAAUGGCCUACCAAGCCUACGAUCUAUAGCUGGUUUUAGAGGAUGAUCAGCAACACUGGGACUGAGACACGGCCCAGACUCCUACGGGAGGCAGCAGUGGGGAAUCUUGGACAAUGGGGGCAACCCUGAUCCCAGCCAUGCCGCGUGAGUGAAGAAGGCCCUAGGGUCGUAAAGCUCUUUCGCCUGUGAAGAUAAUGACGGUAGCAGGUAAAGAAACCCCGGCUAACUCCGUGCCAGCAGCUGC
rnacentral:rRNA from 1 species